rnacentral:lncRNA from 1 species
UCAGAGAGUUGCCGAUUUCGAGAUAAUGCUGGCUGCAUCCACCUUCCGAGUAACACUGUCUUCGAAAUGAAGAAAUAGUGAGCAAGCGUCCAGCAGGUAUACGAGCGGUUUUUUGAAGUUUUCAACCAGUUUUUUGAAGAGUCUGAACCAGUUUUUUCAAGAUCUGAAGGGCAACUCUAUUGACCAGGAAUCGCCGAUUAGCAUAUUAAUGCGAUGGAAAUUGCGACCUGCACCUUUCCGGCCGCACGACAAAUGCAUACUCGAGACGCCUCGGUGAAAUGCUUGUACCAGGUAUAAUAUGACAUGUAUCCUAAUGAAAAAAUUCGAGAGA